UUACAAGAUCAGCACUGCCAGGUUUUAAAGGGACAGUGUCACCGUUGGGCAUGCACCCUGAGAUGCAGCAAUGCUGAGAAUGUUUCGAACAAAGCGCCAUCUUAGAUUUUGAAAUUCAUGCAAAUAUACGGCUUUGCACGUAUUAAAUCUGCAUAAAUUAUUCUGUCUAGUGAUCAAUGAAUACGCUCUCUCGAUCGAAAUAUUUCGAAUACACAAACUUCUGCGACGUUAACAGAGUCUACAGCAACGCCGAGAAUCUGCUCAUUUGGAUACAGAACCGAGACAUCAGACAUCUGGGUCUAGAGGGAACCUUUUGUUUAAUUUCCUUCCUCUGGUGGGCCUUGAAAGGGAAACUGAAGCUCUAAGUUUAAUCGAACUGAGUCAUAGCAAUGACUGGAGGAGUCAGAGUGAGCCCUAGUUCAGCCAUUAAAUAAAUCAGAAUAUCAAGGGCUCGUCCCUCUCUUAUAUUCUAGCGCUCGAACAGAAGAUCGCGACAGUUAGGUGACAGCAGCAGUUUCAUUGCGGAAAAUCUUUAUUUAAAAAGACUGACGCGCCGAUUAACUCAGCUGAAUGGUUAAUUUUUUCCGCAUUCGCAGCCGUUGCCUUUAGGGAGUUGGGAGAGAGUUUGAGAAAGCUUAAUCAGUAUCUCUUUAUUAAACGCAACAUUUUCAACGACAUC